UCUGAUGUUAGCGGCGGACGGGUGAGUAACACGUGGAUAACCUACCUAUAAGACUGGGAUAACUUCGGGAAACCGGAGCUAAUACCGGAUAAUAUUUUGAACCGCAUGGUUCAAAAGUGAAAGACGGUCUUGCUGUCACUUAUAGAUGGAUCCGCGCUGCAUUAGCUAGUUGGUAAGGUAACGGCUUACCAAGGCAACGAUGCAUAGCCGACCUGAGAGGGUGAUCGGCCACACUGGAACUGAGACACGGUCCAGACUCCUACGGGAGGCAGCAGUAGGGAAUCUUCCGCAAUGGGCGAAAGCCUGACGGAGCAACGCCGCGUGAGUGAUGAAGGUCUUCGGAUCGUAAAACUCUGUUAUUAGGGAAGAACAUAUGUGUAAGUAACUGUGCACAUCUUGACGGUACCUAAUCAGAAAGCCACGGCUAACUACGUGCCAGCAGCCGCGGUAAUACGUAGGUGGCAAGCGUUAUCCGGAAUUAUUGGGCGUAAAGCGCGCGUAGGCGGUUUUUUAAGUCUGAUGUGAAAGCCCACGGCUCAACCGUGGAGGGUCAUUGGAAACUGGAAAACUUGAGUGCAGAAGAGGAAAGUGGAAUUCCAUGUGUAGCGGUGAAAUGCGCAGAGAUAUGGAGGAACACCAGUGGCGAAGGCGACUUUCUGGUCUGUAACUGACGCUUAUGUGCGAAAGCGUGGGGAUCAAACAGGAUUAGAUACCCUGGUAGUCCACGCCGUAAACGAUGAGUGCUAAGUGUUAAGGGGGUUUCCGCCCCUUAGUGCUGCAGCUAACGCAUUAAGCACUCCGCCUGGGGAGUACGACCGCAAGGUUGAAACUCAAAGGAAUUGACGGGGACCCGCACAAGCGGUGGAGCAUGUGGUUUAAUUCGAAGCAACGCGAAGAACCUUACCAAAUCUUGACAUCCUUUGACAACUCUGGAGAUAGAGCCUUCCCCUUCGGGGGACAAAGUGACAGGUGGUGCAUGGUUGUCGUCA
rnacentral:rRNA from 1 species